rnacentral:lncRNA from 1 species
GAACCCCCCCGCUCAGGUGAUCCACCUGCCUCGGCCUCCAGAAAAGAUAGGAAAGGGAGAGAGAGAGAGAGAGAGAGAGAGAGAGAGAGAGAGAGAGAGAGAAAGCAUUGCUUAUGGUAGGGCAGGAAAGUUGAGGAGAUCAGGAAAACUAGAGAAAGACCCACGCAUUGAAUCAAAAGUUUAGGUGAUCUCUUGUUGGUUGUGAAAGAAUCUUUUUUGGCAGUCCCAUCUGCUCUCAAGUUUCCCACUUUAGGGAGGAAAAAGCUCCCCUUCUUCCAUGAUCCUGUACUCAUCUAAUUCUGUCAGCCACAGUCAUCAGCAAAAAAUGCAAGGCAGAUUAAUCCAAAGACAAGGCCAGGCAUGGUGGCUCAUGCCUGUAAUUCCAGUACUUCGGGAGGCCGAGGUGGUGGAUCAGCUGAGGUCAGGAGUUUGAGGCCAGCCUGGCCAACAUGGUGAAACCUUGUCUCUACUAAGAGUACAAAAAUUAUCUGGGUGUGGUGGUGGGUGCCUGUAAUCCCAGCUACUCAGGAGGCUGAGGCAGGAGAAUCGCUUGAACCUGGGAGGCAGAGGUUGCAGUGAGCCAACAUCUCACGAUUACACUCCAGCCUGGGCAACAAGAGGGAGACUCCAUCUCAAAACAAACAAACAAACACAAAGACAAUAGUGGUUAAAGUUCCAUAAUGCCAAAUCUAAUCUUAGCUGAGAGCGACUUUACGGAGAGGGGCCUCUCACCCCCUAAAUCUUAGGAAAGGCUAACUUUUCUAAGUUGCACCUCAAACACAAGUUUCAUCAAGUGUUCUUGCCUUUUAUUAAAAGGGACCUUUUAUCUUAUCUGUCUUAGGAGACACUCUAACUCCCCUAAAUUGGGCUAUUAACCCAAUCCCAUUCUAUACCCGGGUGUGCCAUCACUUACAAAAAGUUAGCCAAUUGGCGAUUCAGUCUAUUUCCUUUGGGUUGGGCAUUUCCUUAGCAUCAUCCUUUUGUGAUUCACUGAAAAGAAGAUUCCAGAAAUGGUCCCAAUCCAGAACCGAAGAGUGGGUUCUUGGAUCUUGUACAAGAAA